UACGGAGGGUGCAAGCGUUAUCCGGAUUCACUGGGUUUAAAGGGUGCGUAGGCGGGCAGGUAAGUCAGUGGUGAAAUCUCCGGGCUCAACUCGGAAACUGCCGUUGAUACUAUCUGUCUUGAAUAUCGUGGAGGUGAGUGGAAUAUGUCAUGUAGCGGUGAAAUGCUUAGAGAUGACAUAGAACACCAAUUGCGAAGGCAGCUCACUACGAGUAUAUUGACUCUGAGGCACGAAAGCGUGGGGAGCAAACAGG
rnacentral:rRNA from 1 species